AUAAUGAUAAUAAUAAAAUAGAAAAAUAUCUCAUUCUUUAUAAGAAAGUAGGUUAAGAUCUUAAUCAUUAUAAUUAAGUAGUUGAGCAUUAAGUGGUUAGCAUUUUAAGACCAAAUUAUUACAAUCAUGUAUUCUUCACCAUCAUAAUCUAAACACACAUAUGAGCCAUUUUCGUUCAACAAGAAAUCAAUCACUGACGAAAUUUAAAUCCACAUUUGUAAAAAAAGUAGGGGGAGAAAAAAGAAAAUGGAAAAUUGUUAUUAAAUAAAAUAAGAAAAUUUUACUAAAAAAAAAAGAAAAGACUACAAAAAUGAACAUCUUAUUAUUAUGUAGGGAUUGUAGGAGAAUGUUUUAUGUACGGAUAAAGUAUCUUAUAUUUAUAAAGUUGACCAAUGAAAUACUUCCACGUCAGCAGAAUAAUAUCUGAGAAGGGUACAAUAGUAAAAACACAUUCCUAUCUUCAUCUUCUUCCUCGUCUAUCUCAUUUGAAACAGUUCAACUCAGCUCCAUUAACACACACAACCAUGCAGCUUCUUCCUUCUUCUUCUUCAAACCCUAAUUUCAUUCACUUUUUCACUUCUCAAAACCCUAUCAACCUCUCCAAUUCCACUCUCCACCAUCUCCCGCAUUGCUCUUCCAGAGAUUCCACCACUGUUGUUUUCACCGAGGAGAAGGCUUCGAAGAGGCAGUCUGAAUCAUCUACGGACAGAUGUAUGGUGGUUCGCCGGCCGGAAUUGGCUGUCCCGGCCCGAGACGAGGACGAAAACGGGUUGAAAUUGACGGCAAUGAUUAACGCGGGAACUCCGAAGUUCGCUAAGAAGAUGAGAGUUGAAUCCGGGUCAUCCUCCCAAGCUUUGUAUAAGGCUAAGGUUUUGAUCAGGAGUAAUAGAUUUGCAGAAGCUGAGGAGAUUCUUCAAAAGUGUAUAUGCUAUUGGCCAGAAGAUGGGCGAGCUUAUGUGGUUUUGGGGAAGACUUUAAGCAAACAAUCAAAGACUGUGGAAGCUCGACUUGUUUAUGAGAAAGGUUGCCAAGCUACUCAUGGAGAGAAUCCCUUUAUCUGGCGGUGCUGGGCUGUUCUGGAGAAAACGAUGGGAAAUAUAAGGAGAGCAAGAGAAUUGUUUGAGGCUGCCACGGUUGCUGACAAGAGACACAUUGCUGCCUGGCAUGGUUGGGCAGUUCUUGAGCUGAAACAAGGGAAUAUUAGGAAAGCAAGAAGCAUUCUCGCUAAAGCUCUCAAAUUUUGUGGAGGGAAUGAGUAUGUAUACCAGACGCUUGCAUUGCUGGAAGCUAAAUCAAAUCGUUUUGAGCAGGCUCGAUAUCUGUUCGGGCAGGCCACCAAGUGUAAUCCCAGAAGCUGUGGCAGUUGGCUGGCGUGGGCACAAAUGGAGAGACAACAGAAAAAUAACCCGGCUGCUAGACUACUCUUUGAGAAAGCGAUUCAGUCAAGCCCCAAGAACAGGUUUGCAUGGCAUGUUUGGGGAGUUUUUGAAGCCAAUGUUGGAAAUGUUGAUAAGGGAAGAAAGCUUUUAAAGAUAGGUCAUGAACUUAAUCCAAGGGAUCCUGUUCUACUUCAGUCUCUUGCUUUAUUGGAAUAUAAACACUCAACUGCAAAUUUUGCUCGAGUGUUGUUCAGAAGAGCAUCUGAAAUAGAUCCAAGUCACCAACCAGUAUGGAUGGCAUGGGGGUGGAUGGAAUGGAAAGAAGGAAACAUUGCCACAGCAAGGGAAUUAUACCAAAAGGCGCUGUCAAUUAACUCGACCAGCGAUACUGCUGCUCGAUGCCUACAGGCUUGGGGAGUCCUAGAACAAAGAAUUGGCAACCUUUCUGCAGCUCGUAUAUUAUUUAGAUCCUCUCUAAAUAUAAAUUCUCAGAGUUUCAUCACAUGGAUGACAUGGGCAGCAUUUGAGGAGGAGGAUCAAGAAAAUUUUGUUCGAGCUGAGGAAAUUCGUAACCUCUAUUUCCAGCAAGUGAGCAACCACAAUUAAUUAUUCUAUGUUUAUGCCAAAGACCCAGCAAGCAAUUGACACUAACAGUUUAAAGAAGAUAUUGUUGAAGUUAGACCAGAACCAAUGUAGCACACCCCAAGAGUCCUUGAGAAGAAUGGCUGUGAUUACAUGGACGAGGAGGAAAGUGACAGUGGUUUCAAUUAGGAUAUGCUUUUAGACCCUAGCAAGCUGGACUUUCUGCUGGAAACAAAAAGGAUUUCUUUAGCAAAAACAUCAAAGAGGAAGAUUAUGAAAGCUUUGACCCUAUUGAUCCUGAACCCCAGCAAAUUGAAACCGUUGGCCAGAGAGACAUUUUUGUUGUGGUGAAUACUGUAGUGGUCGGCAUAAGAAGGAAGCAGUGUACCAGCAGCUGCUGCUGCAUUAGUAUAAAUAUAUAUAUAUUAUGUAUAUGCAUGCGCGCUGCUGGGCACUGUCAUAUGUUGCUACAAAUUCGGUUUAAUCACGUCUCAAUACUCUUGUCUUGUCUUUCUUCAUCAUCAUGUGUUGUUUUUUUUUUAUCUUUAUUACU